rnacentral:lncRNA from 1 species
ACCGCAGCUCCCAGCUUAACUUAGAGGAUCUCUUGGAAAACAGGUGGUUACUCAAAGAACCAUUUGCCAUAUAUUCAUACACCAGGAACCUUCUACUAUCUUCAGUGCAAAACCCAAGCAGACGGACAAUAUUGAUGUGCUGAAUCAUACCUAUGGUCUGCACCUCUGCUCGAAAUUGCUUGUCUUCCUGUCUGAGGCCUUUUAGCUUCUUCACAGCCACAGCAGUGCAGCCUGGCAACAUCCCUUUAAAAACGCAGCCAAAGCCUCCCUCUCCAAGUUUUUCAGAGAAAUUUUU